AUUGAACGCUGGCGGCAGGCCUAACACAUGCAAGUCGAACGGUAGCACAGAGAGCUUGCUCUCGGGUGACGAGUGGCGGACGGGUGAGUAAUGUCUGGGAAACUGCCCGAUGGAGGGGGAUAACUACUGGAAACGGUAGCUAAUACCGCAUAACGUCGCAAGACCAAAGAGGGGGGACCUUCGGGCCUCUUGCCAUCGGGUGUGCCCAGGUGGGAUUAGCUUGUAGGUGAGGUAACGG
rnacentral:rRNA from 1 species